rnacentral:rRNA from 1 species
AAACUUUUAACAACGGAUCUCUUGGUUCUGGCAUCGAUGAAGAACGCAGCGAAAUGCGAUAAGUAAUGUGAAUUGCAGAAUUCAGUGAAUCAUCGAAUCUUUGAACGCACAUUGCGCCCGCCAGUAUUCUGGCGGGCAUGCCUGUUCGAGCGUCAUU